rnacentral:rRNA from 1 species
CCGCGAAUUCGCCCUUAGGGUUUGAUCAUGGCUCAGGAUGAACGCUGGCGGCGUGCCUAAUACAUGCAAGUCGAGCGAAUGGAUUAAGAGCUUGCUCUUAUGAAGUUAGCGGCGGACGGGUGAGUAACACGUGGGUAACCUGCCCAUAAGACUGGGAUAACUCCGGGAAACCGGGGCUAAUACCGGAUAACAUUUUGAACCGCAUGGUUCGAAAUUGAAAGGCGGCUUCGGCUGUCACUUAUGGAUGGACCCGCGUCGCAUUAGCUAGUUGGUGAGGUAACGGCUCACCAAGGCAACGAUGCGUAGCCGACCUGAGAGGGUGAUCGGCCACACUGGGACUGAGACACGGCCCAGACUCCUACGGGAGGCAGCAGUAGGGAAUCUACCGCAAUGGACGAAAGUCUGACGGAGCAACGCCGCGUGAGUGAUGAAGGCUUUUGGGUCGUAAAACUCUGUUGUUAGGGAAGAACAAGUGCUAGUUGAAUAAGCUGGCACCUUGACGGUACCUAACCAGAAAGCCACGGCUAACUACGUGCCAGCAGCCGCGGUAAUACGUAGGUGGCAAGCGUUAUCCGGAAUUAUUGGGCGUAAAGCGCGCGCAGGUGGUUUCUUAAGUCUGAUGUGAGAGCCCACGGUUCAACCGUGGAGGGUCAUUGGAAACUGGGAGACUUGAGUGCAGAAGAGGAAAGUGGAAUUCCAUGUGUAGCGGUGAAAUGCGUAGAGAUAUGGAGGAACACCAGUGGCGAAGG